rnacentral:SRP_RNA from 2 species
GCUGGGCGUGGUGGUGUGUGCCUGUAGUCCCAGCUACUUGGGAGGCUGAGGCAGGAGGAUUGCUUGAGCCCAGGAGAUUGAGGCUGCAGUGAGCCAUGAUAGUGCCACUGCACUCCAACUUGGGCAACAGAGCAAGACCCUGUCUCUA